CAUGUCUCUCUUGGCCCCCAGCACUGAUGGUGCCAGCUGUUAGCCAACCGUAGGGAUGAAUUUCAAAACAACAAGCACAGAAGUAGAAGGGUGCUGGAGGGGCAGAUAUGUUUUUCCUCUGACUAUCCUAAACCCUCCCACAAAGCCCCUCGCUUCCCAGGCCAUGUUUUUGUGGUGAAGAUUGACCACGGACCAGCAUCUGCAGGCAGACAUUCAAUCAAUCUAGCCCUGGGCUACAGGAUCAAACACAGGACACCCUGUUCAACUGGAAUUUCAGAUAGGUAAGCGUUUUUUAAAAAUAUAAGUAUGUCCCAAAUAUUGCAUAGGACAUAAAAAGUUACUUGUUGUCUAUCUGAAAUUCCAAUGUAAGUGGACAUCUUUCAUCUGUAUUUGCUUAAUUUCACAACCUUACUCCUACCUAGCCUGUGAGCUUCACCUCUGGACAGCAACCCCAAAACUAUCUUCAGAGUUCAAGCCUGUGGUUCAAGCCUGGGCACAACUUUUCAAGAAGCCCCAGAGUCUCACUCUCAUAUAGGCUGGAGUGCAGUGACAUGGUCUCAGCUCACUGCAACCUCCACCUCCUGGAUUCAAGUGAUUCUCCUGCCUCAGCCUCCCGAGUACCUGGGAUCACAGGUAUGCAACACCAUACGGCUAAUUUUUGUAUAUAUAGUAAAGAUGGGGUUUCACCAGGUUGGCCAGGCUGGUCUUGAACCUCAAGUGAUCUGUCUACCUUGGCCUCCCAAAUUGCUGGGAUUACAGGCAUGAUCCACCGUGCCUGGCCAGGAUUGUUUAUCUUGUUACUCUUCAUUUGUACUUCUUUAUAUGUUCUGGAAAUAAACCCUUUGUCACACACACACACACACACAUGCACACACAAGCACACACAGUGACUAUUGUUUCCCAGUCUUUGGUUUGCCUAUUAGUUUUGUUAAUGGUGUCUUUUAAUGAG
rnacentral:lncRNA from 1 species